rnacentral:tRNA from 6 species
GGGGAGAUGGCCGAGCGGUCCAAGGCGCCACGUUAAGGCCGUGGUCUCGUAAGAGGCGUGGGUUCGAAUCCCACUCUCCUCA